UCUAGUAGUUAUUCCAACAGGCAGCAGCCACUUCUACGAAUUUCCUUCUUUCGCUCCCACUUUUCUUUCCACCAAUCAAUGGCUGCAUCCUUAACCCCUUUUUCAUUGUGGUUAUGGGCUGGCAAAGAGAAAGAGCCUGUCUCCAAUGGUUCUUCUUUAAAUAACUCCUCUGAUUGGGGUUCUGGAGUGAGAGAGACCGAUUCUGUUAACUUCACUACAAAGUUAGCCUCAUCAAGGAAGGUUAAGAGGAGAUGACAGAGUAGGGAAGAUAGGGGAGUGGAGAGGGAACGUGAUGUUGUUUUCGUGCCACCUGAUGGUGGUGUUUAUUUGUCUGGGUCGGAAUCUGAGGGUCCUGACUGGUCUAUUGGAUGGGUGGAGCCGCAUGGACCAAAUUUUCGAAGCGAUGAUGAGAUUGAUGAUGGUUUUGCAGUGCUGGUUCCUUGUUAUAGACCUGGUUGCAAGGAACUUGUCGAGGCGUCUACUGGCCAGCUUUUGAGUGCCAUCAACAACCUCCCAAAGGAAUCGUCUUCUGAGGGAAGGAAUUAUACGAAAUGGCUCUCUUCUCUUCAGAAUUUUUGAAGCAUCAAACGGCCCCAAUUUGAUUGAUUGGUGUGAAUCACUUCUUUUUCUUUAUUGCAUUAUCAAACAAAGGAGAUGAUGUAGAAAACAGAAGUUAAAACAGAUUCAGUGGCGUUAGGGUCUGCAUCAAUUUCUGUUGGAGAUGUUUAGAGGACUAACAUCCAUCAAACAUGGCAAGACGCCAUUUAGUCGAUUAAUGAGAAGAAGCUAUAUUCGUAGAAAUGAAUUUACAAGAGGACAUAGAUUUUCCCUCACAUGGCAUUUUUUUAAUUUUAUUAUAGAACAUGGUAUGUUUUGUUGGUCAUCUCUAUAUGAUGGAGGUUUGAUUUCCUAAGUACUGCUACCUGUUAAUAUGGUGAAAGUAAUGUCUGUUUCUAAGCAUAAGACUACUGUACAUAGAUUUUCAUC